rnacentral:rRNA from 1 species
ACGAACGCUGGCGGCGUGCUUAACACAUGCAAGUCGAACGGAAAGGCCCUGCUUUUGUGGGGUGCUCGAGUGGCGAACGGGUGAGUAACACGUGAGUAACCUGCCCUUGACUUUGGGAUAACUUCAGGAAACUGGGGCUAAUACCGGAUAGGAGCUCCUGCUGCACGGUGGGGGUUGGAAAGUUUCGGCGGUUGGGGAUGGACUCGCGGCUUAUCAGCUUGUUGGUGGGGUAGUGGCUUACCAAGGCUUUGACGGGUAGCCGGCCUGAGAGGGUGACCGGCCACAUUGGGACUGAGAUACGGCCCAGACUCCUACGGGAGGCAGCAGUGGGGAAUAUUGCACAAUGGGCGGAAGCCUGAUGCAGCAACGCCGCGUGCGGGAUGACGGCCUUCGGGUUGUAAACCGCUUUCGCCUGUGACGAAGCAUGAGUGACGGUAAUGGGUAAAGAAGCACCGGCUAACUACGUG